rnacentral:rRNA from 1 species
GUGCCAGCAGCCGCGGUAAAACGGAGGGUGCUAACGUUGCUCGGAAUUACUGGGCGUAAAGCGCAUGCAGGCGGAUUGUUAAGUUUCGUGUGAAAGCCCUGGGCUCAACCCGGGAAGUGCACGGAAAACUGGCAGACUAGAGUACUGGAGAAGUGGGCGGAAUUCCCGGUGUAGAGGUGAAAUUCGUAGAUAUCGGGAGGAACACCAGUAGCGAAAGCGGCUCACUAGACAGAUACUGACGCUCAGAUGCGAAAGCGUGGGUAGCAAACAGGAUUAGAUACCCUGGUAGUCCACGCCGUAAACGAUGGGCACUAGGUGUCGGAGGUUUGACCCCUUCGGCGCCGUAGCUAACGCGUUAAGUGCCCCGCCUGGGGAGUACGGUCGCAAGAUUAAAACUCAAAGAAAUUGACGGGGGCCCGCACAAGC